rnacentral:rRNA from 1 species
UACGUAGGGGGCAAGCGUUGUCCGGAAUCAUUGGGCGUAAAGCGCGUGUAGGCGGGUCGGUAAGUCCGCUCUGAAAGCCCGGGGCUCAACCCCGGGAGGCGGGUGGAUACUGUCGACCUCGAGUCCGGAAGAGGCGAGUGGAAUUCCUGGUGUAGCGGUGAAAUGCGCAGAUAUCAGGAGGAACACCGGUGGCGAAGGCGGUCCCCUGGGCUGACACUGACGCUGAGGCGCGAAAGCGUGGGGAGCGAACGGG